UGGGGAAUUUUGGACAAUGGGCGAAAGCCUGAUCCAGCAAUGCCGCGUGUGUGAAGAAGGCCUUCGGGUUGUAAAGCACUUUUGUCCGGAAAGAAAUCCUUGGCUCUAAUACAGUCGGGGGAUGACGGUACCGGAAGAAUAAGCACCGGCUAACUACGUGCCAGCAGCCGCGGUAAUACGUAGGGUGCAAGCGUUAAUCGGAAUUACUGGGCGUAAAGCGUGCGCAGGCGGUUUGCUAAGACCGAUGUGAAAUCCCCGGGCUCAACCUGGGAACUGCAUUGGUGACUGGCAGGCUAGAGUAUGGCAGAGGGGGGUAGAAUUCCACGUGUAGCAGUGAAAUGCGUAGAGAUGUGGAGGAAUACCGAUGGCGAAGGCAGCCCCCUGGGGCCAAUACUGACGCUCAUGCACGAAAGCGUGGGGAGCAAACAGGAUUAGAUACCCUGGUAGUCCACGCCCUAAACGAUGUCAACUAGUUGUUGGGGAUUCAUUUCCUUAGUAACGUAGCUAACGCGUGAAGUUGACCGCCUGGGGAGUACGGUCGCAAGAUUAAAACUU
rnacentral:rRNA from 1 species